rnacentral:rRNA from 1 species
UGGGGAAUUUUGGACAAUGGACGAAAGUCUGAUCCAGCCAUUCCGCGUGCAGGAUGAAGGCCCUCGGGUUGUAAACUGCUUUUGUACGGAACGAAAAGGUCUCUCCUAAUACGAGAGGCUCAUGACGGUACCGUAAGAAUAAGCACCGGCUAACUACGUGCCAGCAGCCGCGGUAAGACGAACCGUGCAAACGUUGUUCGGAAUCACUGGGCUUAAAGGGCGCGUAGGCGG